UAAAGUGUGGAGAUGGAAAUAGAUGAAGUGAACAGGACAACUGAAACAAAGUGAGAUCAUUGACUGGGGCAGGCAAGUUGCAGAGAUGAAAAGAGAGAUUUUUCAUUAUGAGAUUCGAAAGUCAGCAUCAGAAUUUUCAAUCUGGAGGAAUCCCAGGAUCAGUCUGAACAGAUAUGAGGCAGUCAUUGAUUCAGCUCAAUGUCACAAAUGGAUCUACAGACUCUCACGUACACCGAGACAAGAAGAUUGCAGGAAAUUCUGUCUUUGAUCAGAAACGGCACCUCUCAUUGCAAUUCACAGCUCCGAUAGUGCAUUCUAUUGGCAUUCCAACAGCUAAAUGUCACGUAGCUGGGCAACUGUCCUGCAGUCCCUGCUGUGAGCCAAAUGGGUCCUGAGGAAAUAAGCUCCUUGAUGUUUGAUUUUGUUUUCUCAGUCAGAGGUUGUAAGCAGAGAUGAGCAACCCACUCUGUAAACAAACCUGAUUUCAUUCCGUUGUACAAUUCUGCACAGGAUAAGUCUGAGCUGAAGUUGUCAAGCCAGCUGACAGCAGAUAUUGUCCAGUUUGUAAAUUUUCUAUUUCUAAUCUACAGACUUAUUUGUCUUUAUCCAAAAUCCCUCCAUUGAAGAGAUGUGGAUCAACCAGACCGCUACUCUGGUGUGUAUGAUUGUGGGUGCUGAUCUGAGCCAGGUCCAAAUCCACUGGAAGGUGAACGAGAGGGAGAAAAUCAAAGCAAAUGUGACCAAAAAACCGAGAGAGGAAGAAACCCAAGACACAGUGAUCAGCCAACUCCAGACCAGUGUGGAGGAGUGGACCAGUGGGGUGGAGUACACUUGCUCUGCCCAACAACCUUCUGCAACCUCACCAGUAUCAGCACGGACAAAAAGUACCAAAGUUCCACUGGAGACAAAAGGUCCCAAAGUCAGACUGCUGCCACCACCAGAGGGAGAGACCAAGAGUGGGAACACGGUCACCCUCGAGUGUGUUGCCUCUGGAUUCUACCCGGACCAAAUAACCGUCACCUGGGAGAAAGGGGACUCUCUGAUCUCUUCCAACACCAGUGUGAGACAAACUGCUCUGGAACAGGCAGGGACUUUCAUUGCCAGCUACGUCCUGACCGUGAGCACAGAGGAGUGGAAGGAAGGCUCAGUUUUCAGAUGCACAGUGUCUCAUCCCCCCUCCAACACCAGUGUCAGGCAGGAUGUGAAAAACAUUCAAGAAACCUGCACAGACUUGACAGGAGAGGAGGGGAAGGAAGAACAGGGACAUGUGGAUGGAGAUGACAAUGUGCUUACAGUUGCUGCCUUUGCCAUUCUGUUCAUCAUCAGUUUCCUCUACAGCACCUUCGUCACUGUUGUCAAGACUCAACCUGUGAAUUAACCUUCUGGGAGCCUUACACGAGGACUCGUAAGUCCCUUUGCACCUCUGUUGUUUGAACCUUUUCCCCAUUUAGAUAAUAGUUCGCACUAUUGUUCCAUUGUUCCAUAUCCGUUAAAGAUGCCGCCUGUAACCGGUGACUUUGGGCGAGCUCUCCCGGGCAAACGGCCCUCGCCACUGUCCUGUAACCGAGAAACCCUUCUAAAACUCCACUUUAGCAAGAUCAAGAUCAACAACACUCUGGCGAAGCUACUGACCCAGAUGGAGACCACCGCGCCAGAUCUGCUUCUUAAACUCCGGACCGCACCUGGACCCGACCACGUUCCCGGAGACCCGCGGUCUGCUACCGGGCCGGAGCGCUUGGAGACACGGCCCAUUCCGACCAGCACCUCUCCGGAGCAGGCGACCACACAGAAGUGACGGCGGAGACCUCAAGGU